rnacentral:lncRNA from 1 species
GUGGGGGAAUCCAACACAACCCCUGACUUUCACAUCUCUAGUGCUUCCCAGCAUCAAGUGGCUGGUGGCCAGGCAUCAAGGCCCUCUGCCAAAUUUGUACCUGAGUCAGAGCACAGGGAUCCCAGAAUGGGGACAGGGGAGGGAGAAGGUGGUGUGGGACACCCUAGCAAGACUGUGAGGCCUGCAGUCGGGCAGAAGGGUGCCAGUGCCCCUUUGGGGAUCCAGCUCAGCACGCAGCAGCUGGGCACCUUACUCUGUCUGUCAGCCACCCUGGGCAUGGCCCUGGCUGCUGGCCUUUGCUACCUGCAUACUCAGCAUUGCCACAAGCGAACAGAAGUGUCCUUCAGUGAGCCAGCCUUGGAUGCCAUCGCCAGGAGCGACGGUGGGGAGACUGUUCACGUCAGGAAGAUUGGGGAGAACAGGUUUGUUUUGGUUCAAGCAGAAUACAACAGGGUCUCUCCUUCAGAGGUAGCAGGAAAGCAGUCCUCUGAAAGGACUCUUGUGGCGGGGCUCCCAGUGGCCUCCUUCCACUCUGCAGAGUGGCUCAGUCAAAACAGGACUAAUGAGAAUUCCUGAUGAGGAUGGGGAUUCACGGCGCCUCCUGUCAGCACGCAGCCAGCGGAGGAGGCAGAUCAACAGAGGGAGUUCUCACCCAGCUUUGUUGUCUUAACAUCUGUAAUUUAGCUCCUUUUUUUUCCUUUUUGCAAUUAGAAGUUCUGUUUGAAGAGUUAAACUCGACACAAUGAAUAUUGUAUAACCUGCUCAUUAACUAGACUCCUGUGGCCACCAAGCUUCCUCUGUUGCCUUGAGGAACCCGCUGGAAUAGACAUUCUCCCCUCCUCAGUGUCUCAGCCUCAUCUCCUCUAACUCUUUGAAAAGAAGUAAUGUUGGGUUUGUGGCUUUUGCAAUAAAAAAAGAACUGCA